ensembl:lncRNA
CUGGGAGGCUGAUGCAAGAGGAUUGAGAGUUUGAGUCCAGCCUGGGCAAAUAGGCCAAGCAAACAGGCCACUCUCAGCAAACAACAGAAGCCAUCAGGUGAGCAGCUUGCUUUAUCACAUGCUCCCAACCAUGAUGUUCUGCCUCACCACAGGUCUAAAUGCAACAGAACCAACUUACCACGGACUGAAACUUCCAGAACGGUCAUUAGAGCGCGCUGAAUCCAACACGACACAGACACUCCACGAGAGGACCACGUGAGAACACAGGGAGAAGACAGCCAUCUACCAGAGACUCAGGAAAAAACAACCCCUGACACCUUCAUCUUACUUUAACAUUCUGACGUUUGAGAAAAUAAAUUUCUAUUAUUUAAGCCAUUCAUUCUGUGGUACUUUGUU